rnacentral:rRNA from 1 species
CACGUAGGGACCGAGCGUUGUCCGGAUUUAUUGGGCGUAAAGAGCUCGUAGGCGGUUCAGCAAGUCGGGUGUGAAAACUCUGGGCUCAACCCAGAGACGCCACCCGAUACUGCUGUGACUAGAGUCCGGUAGGGGAGUGGGGAAUUCCUGGUGUAGCGGUGAAAUGCGCAGAUAUCAGGAGGAACACCGGUGGUGAAGGCGCCACUCUGGGCCGGCACUGACGCUGAGGAGCGAAAGCGUGGGUAGCAAACAGG